rnacentral:rRNA from 1 species
AGAGUUUGAUCCUGGCUCAGGAUGAACGCUAGCUACAGGCUUAACACAUGCAAGUCGAGGGGCAGCAUCAUCAAAGCUUGCUUUGAUGGAUGGCGACCGGCGCACGGGUGAGUAACACGUAUCCAACCUGCCGACAACACUGGGAUAGCCUUUCGAAAGAAAGAUUAAUACCGGAUGGCAUAGUUUUCCCGCAUGGGAUAAUUAUUAAAGAAUUUCGGUUGUCGAUGGGGAUGCGUUCCAUUAGGCAGUUGGCGGGGUAACGGCCCACCAAACCAACGAUGGAUAGGGGUUCUGAGAGGAAGGUCCCCCACAUUGGAACUGAGACACGGUCCAAACUCCUACGGGAGGCAGCAGUGAGGAAUAUUGGUCAAUGGACGAGAGUCUGAACCAGCCAAGUAGCGUGAAGGAUGACUGCCCUAUGGGUUGUAAACUUCUUUUAUACGGGAAUAAAGUUAGCCACGUGUGGCUUUUUGUAUGUACCGUAUGAAUAAGGAUCGGCUAACUCCGUGCCAGCAGCCGCGGUAAUACGGAGGAUCCGAGCGUUAUCCGGAUUUAUUGGGUUUAAAGGGAGCGUAGGCGGGUUGUUAAGUCAGUUGUGAAAGUUUGCGGCUCAACCGUAAAAUUGCAGUUGAUACUGGCGACCUUGAGUGCAACAGAGGUAGGCGGAAUUCGUGGUGUAGCGGUGAAAUGCUUAGAUAUCACGAAGAACUCCGAUUGCGAAGGCAGCUUACUGGAUUGUAACUGACGCUGAUGCUCGAAAGUGUGGGUAUCAAACAGGAUUAGAUACCCUGGUAGUCCACACAGUAAACGAUGAAUACUCGCUGUUGGCGAUAUACAGUCAGCGGCCAAGCGAAAGCAUUAAGUAUUCCACCUGGGGAGUACGCCGGCAACGGUGAAACUCAAAGGAAUUGACGGGGGCCCGCACAAGCGGAGGAGCAUGUGGUUUAAUUCGAUGAUACGCGAGGAACCUUACCCGGGCUUAAAUUGCAACUGACUGAACCGGAAACGGUUCUUUCUUCGGACAGUUGUGAAGGUGCUGCAUGGUUGUCGUCAGCUCGUGCCGUGAGGUGUCGGCUUAAGUGCCAUAACGAGCGCAACCCUUAUCGAUAGUUACUAGCAGGUCAUGCUGAGGACUCUAUUGAGACUGCCGUCGUAAGAUGUGAGGAAGGUGGGGAUGACGUCAAAUCAGCACGGCCCUUACGUCCGGGGCUACACACGUGUUACAAUGGGGGGUACAGAAGGCAGCUACACGGCGACGUGGUGCUAAUCCCGAAAGCCUCUCUCAGUUCGGAUUGGAGUCUGCAACCCGACUCCAUGAAGCUGGAUUCGCUAGUAAUCGCGCAUCAGCCACGGCGCGGUGAAUACGUUCCUCGGGCCUUGCACACACCGCCCGUCA